rnacentral:rRNA from 1 species
GUUAAGCGACUAAGCGUACACGGUGGAUGCCCUGGCAGUCAGAGGCGAUGAAGGGCGUGCUAAUCUGCGAUAAGCGCCGGUAAGGUGAUAUGAACCGUUAUAACCGGCGAUACCCGAAUGGGGAAACCCAGUGUGAUUCGUCACACUAUCAUUAACUGAAUCCAUAGGUUAAUGAGGCGAACCGGGGGAACUGAAACAUCUAAGUACCCCGAGGAAAAGAAAUCAACCGAGAUUCCCCCAGUAGCGGCGAGCGAACGGGGAGGAGCCCAGAGCCUGAAUCAGCAUGUGUGUUAGUGGAAGCGUCUGGAAAGGCGCGCGAUACAGGGUGACAGCCCCGUACACAAAAGCGCAUGUGCUGUGAGCUCGAUGAGUAGGGCGGGACACGUGGUAUCCUGUCUGAAUAUGGGGGGACCAUCCUCCAAGGCUAAAUACUCCUGACUGACCGAUAGUGAACCAGUACCGUGAGGGAAAGGCGAAAAGAACCCCGGCGAGGGGAGUGAAAAAGAACCUGAAACCGUGUACGUACAAGCAGUGGGAGCACAGGUUUACCUGUGUGACUGCGUACCUUUUGUAUAAUGGGUCAGCGACUUAUAUUCUGUAGCAAGGUUAACCGAAUAGGGGAGCCGGAGGGAAACCGAGUCUUAAUUGGGCGUUAAGUUGCAGGGUAUAGACCCGAAACCCGGUGAUCUAGCCAUGGGCAGGUUGAAGGUUGGGUAACACUAACUGGAGGACCGAACCGACUAAUGUUGAAAAAUUAGCGGAUGACCUGUGGCUGGGGGUGAAAGGCCAAUCAAACCGGGAGAUAGCUGGUUCUCCCCGAAAGCUAUUUAGGUAGCGCCUCGUGAAUUCAUCUCCGGGGGUAGAGCACUGUUUCGGCUAGGGGGCCAUCCCGGCUUACCAACCCGAUGCAAACUGCGAAUACCGGAGAAUGUUAUCACGGGAGACACACGGCGGGUGCUAACGUCCGUCGUGAAGAGGGAAACAACCCAGACCGCCAGCUAAGGUCCCAAAGUCAUGGUUAAGUGGGAAACGAUGUGGGAAGGCCCAGACAGCCAGGAUGUUGGCUUAGAAGCAGCCAUCAUUUAAAGAAAGCGUAAUAGCUCACUGGUCGAGUCGGCCUGCGCGGAAGAUGUAACGGGGCUAAACCAUGCACCGAAGCUGCGGCAGCGACACUCAGGUGU